CGCAAGGGCACUCUGUGUUACAAGAAAAAAAAAAAUAUUGUAACACAAUUUGUAACCUUGCUAGACGAAACUCACAAAAUUUGAAUUUGUCUCCUGUUUUUCAAGAAGUCAAUCGAAGAGUAGUGAAACAUUUU